rnacentral:rRNA from 1 species
UAGUGAGUUUGAUCCUGGCUCAGAGCGAACGCUGGCGGCAUGCUUAACGCAUGCAAGUCGCACGGCUGGGGCAACCUGGCAGUGGCGGACGGGUGAGUAACGCGUAGGAAUGUGUCUUGAGGUGGGGGACAACCCUGGGAAACUGGGGCUAAUACCGCAUAUGGGCUGAGGCCCAAAGCCGUGAGGCGCCUUGAGAGCAGCCUGCGUCCGAUUAGGUUGUUGGUGGGGUAAUGGCCUACCAAGCCUGCGAUAGGUAGCUGGUCUGAGAGGACGAUCAGCCACACUGGGACUGAGACACGGCCCAGACUCCUACGGGAGCAGCAGUGGGGAAUUUCCGCAAUGGGGCGAAAGCCUGACGGAGCAAGACCGCGUGAGGGGAUGACGGCCUAAUGGUUUGUAAACCCUCUUUUCUCUAGGAAGAUGAUGACGGUACUAGA